GAUAAUUUAUACAAGCAAGAGGAAGACAAAUCAAUUAAUUUAUAGACUAUCAUGUAACUGAUAUCAGCAAAAUAAACAGCUCUUUUCUCAUAAAAGAUCAAUAAUAUUCUUCUGUUUUGGUGUCACAACCACAACAGUUUCAGCUUAGGGACCUUGUUGAAGACAAAGAUAUCACCAGGAUUUGUAAUUCAUGAAUGCUGGAAUUCAAUUCAAUUGAAUUCUUGGGUUAAUUACAUGAAUGCAACAUAAAUUUGACCCAAACGGCGAAUGUUAAGUCAAACAAGCAAGAAUGUUGAAGGAAUAAGCCUGUAUAUUUUGCCUCUAAAAUAGCUUGAUGCGUUCUUGAACCAAAACUAACCUUCAGUAUUGAGAGCUAUCAAACACCCACGGCUCAUGCAAGAACAGCUCCCGCCCAUUCAUUUGCACCGUCCCGGCAGCUAUAUCUUCUGCACGUUUCCUAGCUGCUUCAGCUUUUCUAGCUGAGGCAUCUGCAUCCUUUCGGCGUUUCCAGGUGAGGAACUCUGUCUCUGUUAUGGGAUGAGACCUUGGCGGCUCAUUUGCUUGUUUUCCCUUCUGCUCUUCUUCUGUUCCCAUGAUCUUCUUAGGUUUUCUUGUCUACCCUUAC
rnacentral:misc_RNA from 1 species